AUUGAACGCUGGCGGCAGGCCUAACACAUGCAAGUCGAACGGAGCGGCGGACGGGUGAGUAAUGCCUAGCAAUCUGCCUGGUCGUGGGGGAUAACUUCCGGAAACGGGCGCUAAUACCUCAUACUUUCAGAUGAGCCUGGGUCGGAUUAGCUAGUUGGUGGGGUAAAGGCCUACCAAGGCGACGAUCCGUAACUGGUCUGAGAGGAUGAUCAGUCACACUGGAACUGAGACACGGUCCAGACUCCUACGGGAGGCAGCAGUGGGGAAUAUUGGACAAUGGGCGAAAGCCUGAUCCAGCCAUGCCGCGUGUGUGAAGAAGGCCUUCGGAUUGUAAAGUACUUUAAGCUGGGAGGCGUUACCAGCAGAAUAAGCACCGGCUAACUCCGUGCCAGCAGCCGCGGUAAUUC
rnacentral:rRNA from 1 species